GGGCUAUCAGUUUGACAUUUCCCUCUAGUUCUGCAUGGAAACUAAAAUACCAUUUAAGUCUUCUUCCAACAUUUCUCAAAUCAUAAAAAAUUAGAGCCACUGGAUUCUAUCUCAAGAACCAAUGAAGUGCCAGGCAUCCUAUGCACUGCAAAAAAAUGAAAGGCGAACAAGGCACUUCCUCUGCACUUUAAAGGUCUUCUGGGGCUAAUCUGAACACUUAAUCAUCAACAAGUCCAUUGCCUGACUGGUUUGAAAAUGGUUUUCUGCCUGAGACAGGCAAAGCUACGCAGGAGUCUGAGGUGGAAAGGAAGGUCCAUAGGAAGCAGCAGCAUUAAGCCACAUCUUUGUGAAAGGAGUCCUUCUGUGUAUGCUCUCCCCGCAUUGCAUUGUCACAGCCUGAGAGAGCUGACACCCAGCCAGGAAUCAGAACGCUCUUAUCAUUCCCAGACUACUUCGCCUUGCUGUGAACACCAGGCUGGUGGGAGGGCCACAAACUGUUCUCUCAAGCUUCACUCCAGUCACCAGUCUGGCAUGUCUGUAGUGUUCUAGCCCCAUUCUGGCCCUUCACACCACUGGGAAGUCCCCCUUGGAUUCCAAAAGAAAAUUAAACUCCUUGGAAUCCAAAACUAAUAAACUUUCAUGGAGCGGU